CUGAUACCAUAUCAUACUGCUAUAUGUAAGUUUGUAUUCUGUUUUGGUCGGGGUGUUUGUGGGUAGGGGCGGGGGGGUGCACUUAAAACUCAUUUAAAACUCCCAGUAAGGUUGGCCAAUCUUGCUAGAGAAACGACCAAAAUACGUACUUCUGUAGGACGGUUGCAUGUUUAGUUUGGUCGUAUCAUCCUUGUGCAACCAAUCCUCAGUCCUUGCUCUAUUUGACUGUCAAAUGAAGUUUGUAGUCAUGCAUGACACGAAAUCUAGAUUUAAGUAUUUAAGUUUAUUAGAUAGAGACCUGAUCCUCAAUUUGUUGUAUCAGCAAGGAAUAGAACUCACUAUACAUCAAACAUUCAAAGUUUAGCUUGAGCAUCCAGGGCAGCCCAAAAGAAAAAUCAUCCAUUUGGCCCUUGAUGAUGCACAAUCCUUAGCUCAAGAUGAUGAAUCUUUGAUUGAGAACAUUGUAGUUGGUAUGAAGGAAUUUACAUUGAAGGAACUUUGAAAUUUAUGGUUAAUUGGUUAGAGUGAUGAAUCAACUGCAGUAGCAGUUGUUCCCACCAGCACAAGUGUAACCAUUUUAUGCUUCUUGUGUUUGUCGACUUGCAAUAGCAAUU
rnacentral:lncRNA from 1 species